AACGCACCUUGCACUCCUUGGUAUUCCGAGGAGUACGCCUGUUCGAGUGUUAUGAAGCUCUCAAAACGCAAUUGGCUUAAAACCUGAUUGUUGUUUUGGAUUUGAACUUUGCCGUGUUAUAACGGCUGGUUUUAAAAGUAUUAGCUGGUACUAGAACGAAUUGGUUCUACUCAACGUGAUAAUUAUCUGAUCGUUGAGGACAUUCCUUUCACGAGGAAUGGCCAUAGUAAAUUCAAUGGACUGCUUCUAAUCUGGCUUUAAUUCUUUAUUGGAUUAACCACUUUUCAAAUCUGACCUCGAAUCAGGUGGGACUACCCGCUGAACUUAA
rnacentral:misc_RNA from 1 species